rnacentral:misc_RNA from 1 species
GAUGAAGAACGUAGUGAAAUGCGAUAAGUAAUGCGAAUUGCAGAAUUCCAGUGAAUCAUCGAAUCUUUGAACGCACAUUGCGCCCCUUGGUAUUCCAUGGGGCAUGCCUGUUCGAGCGUCAUUUGUACCCUCAAGCUAUGCUUGGUGUUGGGUGUUUGUCCUCUCCUUUGCGAUUGGACUCGCCUUAAAGACAUUGGCAGCCAGUGUAUUGGUCUUGAAGCGCAGCACAUUUUGCGAUUCUUGCUGAUAAUCACUAGCGUCCAGUAAGCCUAUUUUAACACUUUUGACCUCGGAUCAGGUAGGGAUACCCGCUGAACUUAAGCAUAUCAAUAAGCGGAGGA